CUGUUACUAGGGAUAGUUAGGAGAAAAGGGCAAGGUAGGAGGAGCAUGUGAGGCUUAGGGCUUUUAAGUUUGAAGACUCAGUGUUACAGGUUUUAAAAGGUAGCAGUUCUCAGUAUAUUCCAUUUUUUAAAAAAAAUGUACAAAUAUGGUCUUUUUAGAUGGAUGCAUGCAGUUCGUCAGAACUUAAAUACUGAGGAAGAAGUGGAAAAUGUAGCAGACAUUGGUUUUGAUUGUAACAUGUGCAGACCCUAUAUGCCUGCAUCUAAUGGUAACAGAAUAAUUUAAACUUGCCUUCCUCAGACUGCUGUGGAUCUUCACUUGUAGCACAAAUUGUCACAAAAGUAAAAAAGCUAGACCCACCCAAGACUUAUACCCAGGAUGAUGUGUGUUUGAUUGAAUCAGGGAUGACUCAGUUACAGAGCCUCACAGUUACAGUUCCAAGAAGAAAACUGUCAAAACCAAAACUGAAAUUGAAGAUUAUAAAUCAGAAUAGCGUGGCCGUCCUUCAGACCCCUCCAGACAUCCAAUCAGAACAUUCAAGGGAUGGUGAUAUGGAUGAUAGUCGAGGUAAUACUAAUUUAUUUUCCAUGAAAUUAGUGCAAGAAUUACAGCAUAUAAAGUAACUUUUGAAAUAUGUGUAUGAUUUACCAAAGGGUAAAUCACACUGACUUAGAUAACCCCGAUGUGACCCUUGCCAUCUCCAAAUGAGUGAUCUUCUUAGACCUUGCCUUUUCGGGUUCUCUUCCUUUCACACAUUUUAGAACAGACCUACCUUACAGAAAUCUCAAGGAGCACCAUAUCUUUGAAGAUCACAGGUGGGGAACUACAGAGGGCUUGACUUUAGUUUGCUAGAUAAUGACACAAACCUUCUCAGAUACUGUGAGCUUGGAUAAUACCAUGUUUAAGUUAAGGUAGUUGAUGCAUACAUUCUAGAAAUGGAAAAGCUGUCAUUUAAUAUUACUUCAGGUAUAACUUCAU